rnacentral:misc_RNA from 1 species
CAGAUACAGUGAAACCUUUAUAAAAAAUCGAUGAAAUUAUAAAAGAAUGUUGCUGCUAUAUCAUCUAUUAUAAAUGAAUAUUCAUAUAUUGAACAUAUAGAUUAAUGAUGCCCGAGAUAAGGGAUGAAGACGCCGGCUCAUGCUAAAUAUUCAUGAUAGUCUGUGCUGUGCCGCGGCCGUCGUGCCGUGACCGCAGCCUCCCAAAUAUGGGCAGCACCGCCAGAGCUCAUGGGGCACCAAAACAAAACGGGUCAAAGCCCGUGGUGCCCGUGGUGCCCAUGGGGCCCGUGGUGCCCGUUGAUCCGUUAGGACCCGUAGAGCACGGGCCAGUCGAUGUAGACAAUUGCUUGGCCCGUACAUCUGGUGGCGACGAUGACUCAUCGGAAGAGGGGGAGGUUAUAUCCCAUUUUGGUGGUCGAGAAACCGCCACCCCGGGUUUCCAUCUGCCAGGUGGUGGGAGUUGGUGGGGGCGGGUGGUGACCAUCUGCUUGCUUUUGCUCAGCUGGCUGUCGCCACAGACGGUUCGUGGUGCCGCCCUGUCGCCUGCCAGAGCUUUCGUCGGCGACGAAGCCCAACGCUACCUGAUGCAGUACGGUUAUCUGCCCAUGAGCGACGUUGAGAUGGGAAAUCUUAGGACGGAUGACGAGCUCACCGAUGCCGUGAAGAGAUUGCAGAUGUUCGGCCACAUUCCCGUGACUGGCGUGGUCGACGCAGCAACAAAGGAUCUAAUGCGGCGACCGCGCUGCUCUCUGCCAGACAUACCGCCUGACGAGGAAAACAACCGCGUACGGCGCUACAUCAAACAGGGGAGCUCGUGGGACAAGACCCACCUAACCUGGAGCAUUGUCAGCUACCCAGAACGGCUGGACGGUCGUGCUGUGGAGAGGGAGCUGCAGCUCGCCACCGAGCUAUGGGCGAGACCCUCCCGUCUGCGCUUCACGCACGUCACAGAACAGACCUCCACUGCCGACAUCGUGAUGCAGUUCAACAGAGGUUAUCACGGCGACGGCUACCCGUUUGACGGGGCGGGUCGCACGCUGGCCCACGCCUUCUACCCUGGACCCGGCAUCGGUGGAGACAUCCACUUCGAUGCCGACGAAAAAUGGGUCCAACAUCUGGACUCUCAUAAUGGAUCGUACGAGGAGGUGAGUUUGUUCCUGACGGCGGGGCACGAGAUAGGGCACGCCCUGGGCCUCUACCACAGCCAGGCCCAGAACAGCAUCAUGAGCCCCUACCUCUUCACCUACGGGCCUGGCACCUACGAACUGCCCCAUGAUGAUGUCGCCGGCAUACAGGACCUAUACGGCGUGAACGAGAACUACGAGUCUUCCUCAGAAACUAAGGCUCAAGAGGAAGGGGACUUCAGCCCCGGGGUGGUGUCCCCCACCUUAGACCCCUCAGUCCCGUCCUCUCCCGCCCCUCCCCUCUCGUCAGAACCAGACCCCUGCGACACAAGCUACGACGCCAUCAGCGUCAUACGGCGCGGCGUGUACAUCUUCAGAGGCAAGUUCUUCUGGCGUAUCGACCAGAGAACUGUGAGCCAGGAGCCCGUGGAGCUCUCGCGCUUCUGGUACUGCCUGCCGCCCAACGUGACGCACGUCGACGCUGUGUACGAGCGCCCCCAUCAGGACACCAUCGUCUUCUUCAGCGGCCGGCAGUACUUCGUGUGCCGCGGCAACGAUGAGCUCGUGGACUCAGGGCCGCUGAGGCGCCUGGGGCUGCCCGCUGACUUGGCCCGCCUCGACGCCGCCUUCGUGUGGGGCCACAACACCCGCACCUACUUCAUGGCCAACACCAUGUACUGGAGGUUCGACGAGUCCAUCCAGCACGUGGAGCUGGACUAUCCUCGCGACAUGUCCAUGUGGAAGGGCGUUCCUUAUGACGGUAUCGACGCCGCCUUCAAGCUCAACGGUACGACCUACUUCUUCAAAGGUAAAGUCUUCUACGAGUUCGACGACCUGCGGAUGAAGGUGCGACCGAGGAGCCCUCUCCUGUCCGCGCCCUUUUGGAUGGGCUGUCCCGACAACAUCGCUAACCCCCGACAUGCCCCAGGCUCGGUCGCCAGUGGGGCAGUCGCUCCCCAAGUUGCCGGGACAAUAUCCCUGGUGUCCACGGCGCUGGUGUUCCUCGUGGCUCUGAAUAUCCUCAGUAUUAAAUCACCGCACUCGCUCCACCGCGUCACGUGAUCGAGUCUUCGAAUUAGAUGAUUUAAACAAAAAAAAUUACGCAUUGAAGGAAUAAAUCGAUUGUGAUUUCUUUCUUUCUUUUCAAGUUUUGUAAAAUUUGACAUUUUUCUUGGAUACUUCUCUGAAUUCAACGAAAAUCCAUGUAAUUAAGAGUCAGUACAGAUGAUCAAAAUUAUUGGCGAUUAGAAACAAAUUUGAUUAUUGCCCACAAAAAAUUUCUACAUAGGUGGUUCGUUAUACGUUGAACCACGAUGGUACGUUCAAUGACGAAUAAAAUUUUGUCUGCAGUGUGUUAUACUAGUCUGAAAAACACUGAUCAAUCGAUUGAAAAUUUACAAUAUCGGAAUCUACAUUUAAGAAUUUCAAUUUAGGUUAAUUAUCUGAUAAUGCAAUAGUUUUACACAUGGUAUUUCAAUAGAAUUCUCAACGACCUUCCGAACGCUACUUGAUCUCAAUUUUUGUUGAUUUUAGUCGGUAACAACAAUAUAAUCAAAAUAUUUUUGAUGGCGAUAUUCUUUGUUGAUAAAUGUCAAGUUUUUCGAUGUCUGCGGUUGGAACAAUAAUAAGUCGAGUAUUGCAAAACGACUUAAUAACUGCACGUAUUGAGGUCAGGAAACGUUCUUCUAUGCCUCCUAAUAAUGUUUGUGCUAUAUUAUUUAUUGCAGUUCUUCUUAUAUAGAACAAUUACUCUAUUUGGAUUAUGAAUUUAGCUCUUUGAAAUUUUCCAGUUCAUGACGAAGUUAAGAUUUGAACUGAAUUUCUUUGGUCCAUCAUCUUACCCGAAUCCUGAUUCAAAGAAUCAUACGCUUGAAGUAGAAUUAAAUUGCUUAUAAUAACCUUCACUAAAAUCAAUCAACGUGCUUCAUUAUUGUUUUAUGCUUGCAUGCACCCACAAUAAUAUUAUAGUAUAACCUCAACUGUCGAAAAUAUUCAUUCAGAUAAUCUCCUGAUAUAUUCUUGUAUCAAUUAUCCAAUCGCUCAUUAACCUGUAUUAAGCAAAUAUAUUUCCUUGUCUUAUACUUCAUUGUCGCCAAAUAAUAAUUUUAUCACCUGGUCUUCUAAUAAUUUGCGUGUAUGCCUGGCAUUUUCUUCCCUUUCUGAAUCGGUACAUUUAAGCGUAUAAAUUGUUUGUUCACUUUUAUUAAUUUAUUUGUAAUCCAUUCACGUAAAAUUUCAUUUUAUAUUGAAAAUAGUUAUUCAAAAAUAAGAAAUGGCUGCGUGUGUCGGAAAAAAAAUAAUUGAUAUCUGAACUUGUUUGUCGAAGAAUUCGCGUAUCUUGCCUUACGUAUCCACAGAUAUCUAGAUACCGUCAUUCACGUAUUCAUUUGCAUUCAUGAUUUCGAGACAUGGAUCAAUUCGGAGGAGAAAUAAAAGCAAAUAACUCGUAAUUUCAUUAAUUAAGAUGAAACGCAGACCGACUUGCCAGCACCCACGACUUGUAAGCUUGUUCAUCGCUCGAGCUUGUUGCUUGGUGCGAUGCAUUAGAUUUAUUUUCUAAUUUGUAUGUCUGUGUGAUUUACGAAGUUCUUGUUUAAUUCACCUUAAGACGAUCUUAUGUAACGUGGUUUUACUACGUGAUAAAACAAGAGAAGUUUUUAUGAUUGGAAAUAAGUUUUUAAGAAACAAUCGUUCGCGUGACGAAUAAGAAUUUGCUUCACGUCAGACCACAGCGACAAUUGCUGCUCGAUUACUAGUUUUACUCAGAAAUGGAACUUUAAUUCUCAAUUAUUGAUUCUCCCAUGGAAUUCAAAGUACGUCAAAUAAAAAAAUUUAGAUAAAAUAUAAAAAAUGGCUUCAAUAAUAACGUGUAUUCUCUGUAGACUUGGGUACUCACAGACCUGAGUGUUCAGAAUUAAGGGAUCUCAGAGUCCUAGGUGCUCAGAAUUAAGGGUUCUCAGAGUUAAGGGCUCUCAAGAGUUAAGGGUUCUCAGAGUCCUAGGUGCUCAGCAUUAAGGGUUCUCAGAUUUAAGGGUUCUCAGCGCCCUGGGUGCUCAGAAUUAAGGGUUUUUAGCGUCCUGGGUGCUCAGAAUUAAGGGUUCUUAAAAUCUUUGAUGCUCAGCGACGUUGGCCUCUAGAGUGUCCAAAUUAAAUUCAUACGAAUCAUGGAUAAACAUUAAGUGUAAUGUUAUGAAGGGAAUUAUUAAUGACUAGCAACCUCCAGGAAUUAAUAUGAAAUAAUCUAAAUAUUUUUGUGUGCAUUAUGUACUGAUAUAAAAAUUAGUCCUGUAAAAUUUACUCUCUCGGGCGAGUUGCUGGCAGCAUUUACAAACAAAUUUUGGUUAUUAAAUUUUUCGUUAACUUGCUAGUAAACUUAGUUAGUCGGCCCUCUGCCUGUUGUAUAAUUUAUUAAAUUUUUUAGUAAAUGUCGUUCAUCA